rnacentral:misc_RNA from 1 species
UCCGGUUUGUCACCGGCAGUCCCAUUAGAGUGCCCAACUGAAUGUAGCAACUAAUGGCAAGGGUUGCGCUCGUUGCGGGACUUAACCCAACAUCUCACGACACGAGCUGACGACAGCCAUGCAGCACCUGUGUUGCGGUUCCCUUUCGGGCACCAAGACAUCUCUGUCCCGUUCCGCACAUGUCAAGGGUAGGUAAGGUUUUUCGCGUUGCAUCGAAUUAAUCCACAUAAUCCACCGCUUGUGCGGGUCCCCGUCAAUUCCUUUGAGUUUUAGCCUUGCGGCCGUACUCCCCAGGCGGUCAACUUCACGCGUUAGCUGCGGUACUAAGGAAGGUGGGGAUGACGUUUACGUGCACUU